AACGCGAAGAACCUUACCAGGGCUUGACAUGCACAGUGCCGCCGUAGAGAUACGGCUUCCUUUGGGGUUGUGCACAGGUGGUGCAUGGUUGUCGUCAGCUCGUGUCGUGAGAUGUUGGGUUAAGUCCCGCAACGAGCGCAACCCUCGUCCUGUAUUGCCAGCACGCCUUUCGGGGUGGUGGGGACUUGCGGGAGACUGCCGGGGUCAACUCGGAGGAAGGUGGGGAUGACGUCAAAUCAUCAUGCCCCUUAUGUCCUGGGCUGCACGCAUGCUACAAUGGCCGGUACAGAGGGCUGCGAUACCGUGAGGUGGAGCGAAUCCCGGAAAGCCGGUCUCAGUUCGGAUCGGGGUCUGCAACUCGACCCCGUGAAGUCGGAGUCGCUAGUAAUCGCAGAUCAGCAACGCUGCGGUGAAUACGUUCCCGGGCCUUGUACACACCGAGUAUA
rnacentral:rRNA from 1 species